CUCAGGGAAACAGGAAGUUAGAAUAGUCCAAGGAUACAGAAAAAAAUGUCACCAAUGAAGUCAGUCUUACCGUGCCUCACUAGUCCUCCUCCAUGCCAGUUCCUCUGACUCUGACCAUAUCAUGGAUUCCUUCCCCUUCUUUCUCCCCAGGCCUCCAAAUAAGUCUACAGAUUCUGUCAGUAAUGGCCUGGAGUUCCAAAGCUUAUGACUCAAAGGUGAUCAGAGCAUUCAAGAUAAUGCGCCUGAAGCCAGUCUGGAUUGGUAACUGCUCAACUCGAGCAAUAUACAGUAUGAGAAGCAAAAGGAAGAAGAAAACAGAAGGGCAGCCACCAAGGAGUAAUCAUUUCUACCAAGAGACUGGAAGAAAACCAGAAGAAAGGUUAGGGUGCUUGUUUCCCUGGUUCCCUACCUGAAAGGUUGUCUUAGGCUGGAUCUCCAUCAUUCCUAAGGCCUACCAUUUCUUGAAGAAUGAGCUUCUCUACAAGACACUCUCUUUUUCUGGAUUCUGGUAAUCACUCUCUUUCUCAUACUCUAGGACCUAGGAGUAUGAAAAGCUCAACAGUUUCUAAGCAUGGGUUAUCCUUGUUGCUUCCCCUCCCCUUCCUUUUCUCUGUACUGUUAAGUGUGCUCUGAAUGAAGAGACCCCCUAAACAGGCUUUGUGUGAGCAACGAGACUGUUUAUUCACCCGGGUGUGGGUGGGCUGAGUCCAAAAAGAGAGUCGGCGGAGGGCAGUGGGAUAAGAGUUGGUUUUAUAGGUUUGGGGUAGGCAGUGGAAAGUCACCGAAGUUACAGUUCAGGGCAGUUUUUGCAAGCCAGGGGAGUGUUGGCAGUGGGGAAGUGUGGUGUGUCACAAGGUCCAAGGUCCAGUGUCACAAGGUUGGUUUAUCAGUUAAGGCACAAACAGUUGAGGCAGGAACAAUGGUACAAUGUUGUGAGGUCAACUAGUCUUUGCAGGAGCCAGCAAUUCUUCUUACUUCAGCCUUUCUGACUCCGAGAGGCCAUCCAAAGAUGUAUGUAUGGGUCAUGGGAGUCGGCAUGGCUCGACUGAGGUAUGCCCUUUGGUGCAGUCACUUCAAAGAACCUUGCAUGUACAUAGUCCUGUUGUAAGUAAAUCCCCCUUAAAUGAUCCUAAUUUGAGCAUACCAUGUGUUUUCUGGUGAGAUACUGACUGGUACAUCCUCCCAAGUAGGAUGCUUCUCAAUCCCUGCUUUACAUGAGACUAUGGAGGAUGACAGACAAGGAACAGCUUCAGGGAAGGUGGAUCAGAGGCCCAGAAAAAAAACGUUGACAAGGGAGUCUUCUCAGAGAACAGAGUCAGGGUCUAAUCCAAUACAUUUCUCGAAUGUGUGCCCGAAGAAUUUAAAAAAUCC
rnacentral:lncRNA from 13 species